UACGGAGGGUGCAAGCGUUAUCCGGAUUCACUGGGUUUAAGGGUGCGUAGGCGGGCAGGUAAGUCAGUGGUGAAAUCUCCGAGCUUAACUCGGAAACUGCUGUUGAUACUAUUUGUCUUGAAUAUUGUGGAGGUAAGCGGAAUAUGUCAUGUAGCGGUGAAAUGCUUAGAUAUGACAUAGAACACCAAUUGCGAAGGCAGCUUACUACACAACGAUUGACGCUGAGGCACGAAAGCGUGGGGAUCAAACAGG
rnacentral:rRNA from 1 species